GCUUUUUCAUCAAAUAUCCCCGCUUGUCGGAGCAUCCAGACAUCUUAAAGGGAGACUGCUAGACUGCACCCAAAAACUAACUUCAUUGUUAUCGAUUCUUUUGGUUUCGGAAGAAUCUCGAUUUCUUUGUGGAUCAAUCGAUGUAUCGUCACCGUUCUCUAUAGCUUAUCCGACUAUUCUACGGCAUUGUUCGGCUCAUUCAUCAGAGGCUUAGAAAGAGACAGGAGCUAUCGUUUUGAGACUUUUCCUUGCCAUUGGAGGACUUGCUGACACCAUUCUGGGUAGAUUCGCUUGACUAGGAAGAGUUGGUGGACGAGUGCCUCUACAACUCAGCACCUCAAUUACGGAUGGAAAAUCUCUU